AGACGCUCGGAUAUUCAGUGUUGGUUUUCCCGCCGUUUUUAUUGAUUAUGGCAAAACAUGUUGUUUUUUACAUUAACUGUUGAAUAUUUUUCAACAACCGGGAAGAAAAAAUAAGUCUAGUAUCUAGGUCAAGCUAUCGGUUCGCCCAGCUGAAAUAAAUAUUGCAACUAAUUAGAAGAACUUGAGCUUGCAACUCCAAUACUUAAAACAAAUGUUUACGGAGUUCGUUUUACACAGAAAGGUGAAAUGUUUUGAAUCUUUGAGAUGAUCGAGUCGCGGGUCACCUGGGUAUGCAUGUGAUUAUAACAGGCGGUGAAAAUUUUUAUUAUAUUAAUAUAAAAUUUCUAAUAAUAGGCCUAUUUAUAUAUACUAAAAAUAACACUCCUUUCCGAUAAGCCUAUGUAUACAUGUUAUUUAUACUUGUAUAUGCACGUAAGUCAACAUUAAUUAACAAGCCCAAUUCCCAAACAGGUAGAUACAGCAAUACCUGGAAAUCUUGAUAGUUUCGUAUAAUCUUUGUAUUGUUAUUGUACCUGUUGCACCAAUGAAAUGCAAGAAAAAUGUGGCCAUGAUAUGCAAACCAAUCGGCAAUCGUUGCACAUUAUGGAACCAAGGUCCAAAGAGUUUCGAAUUAACGUUAGCAACAAAUUUUGAAUAUCAGUCAGUUUUACUAUUGCUUCUAAAAUAGGAUACAAAAAAGAAAUGUAUAAAAGCUCACUGAAACGACGAAAUAAAGAUUACAACAAAGAUGCUUGCAGUUUUAUUGGACAACAACGUAUUUGGAAUACCUUUGCACUACUUUGCACAGCGGAGAGAUACAAUGCACUACUUUCCUAUUUGGAAGGACGUCAUUACAGAACUGAAGAGGCUAUACAUGUGACGUACUUCUAUUGUACAGACAAAUUAACAUUGGAUCAUACAUAAUAACAGCAGCUUUAAAAGUGCAUUUCGAAGUUAAAUGUUAAACUUGCGUGGACUUUUUGUGUUCGAAUCCCAGUCAGAAAAUGAGAGAAAACCCUUAAAUGUAUAUAUCAGCAAAAUGUGGCUUAUCUAUCUGACUUUUAACUGAGUUCCAGUUAGUACAAAUAAUAGAAGUAUUUAGGAACAACAUGAUCAAAUUAUAAAAUAAGCCAUUCCGAUAAGACGAAUGGGCUUAGAUUUUAAGAUUUUAGAACCACUGUAGGCAUAAAGACGAACAACAGUAUGGUAUAACUUCACGAGUUUCAUUCCAUCACAAAAAUGGUUGAUUUUGUAAAUUUUACAAAGUGUUAUUAUAUAGAUAUUUAUAUCACGUUGUUUUUUGUUAAAUUCCGGAUUUUACCAGUUUGAUGUUCUCUAGCUUAUUUAGUAAAUUAAAAAAAAUCACUCA